GACGGACGCUGGCGGCGUGCCUAAUACAUGCAAGUUGAGCGCUGAAGGUUGGUACUUGUACCGACUGGAUGAGCAGCGGACGGGUGAGUAACGCGUGGGGAAUCUGCCUUUGAGCGGGGGACAACAUUUGGAAACGAAUGCUAAUACCGCAUAAAAACUUUAAACACAAGUUUUAAGUUUGAAAGAUGCAAUUGCAUCACUCAAAGAUGAUCCCGCGUUGUAUUAGCUAGUUGGUGAGGUAAAGGCUCACCAAGGCGAUGAUACAUAGCCGACCUGGGAGGGUGGUCGGCCCCAUUGGGACUGGGAACCGGCCCAAACUCCUACGGGAGGCAGCAGUAGGGAAUCUUCGGCAAUGGACGAAAGUCUGACCGAGCAACGCCGCGUGAGUGAAGAAGGGUUUCGGAUCGUAAAACUCUGUUGGUAGAGAAGAACGUUGGUGAGAGUGGAAAGCUCAUCAAGUGACGGUAACUACCCAGAAAGGGACGGCUAACUACGUG
rnacentral:rRNA from 1 species